GGGAAUGAUGAUUUCUCAGACUAGAGUCUCUGACGCUGGCUCUGAAGUGAAAAAAUUAAGUUCUGACUC
rfam:Myotis davidii contig188057, whole genome shotgun sequence.